rnacentral:tRNA from 1 species
UAGAAGGUAGUAUAUUGGUAGUACGGGAGGUUUUGGGCUUUCCGGUUCAAGUUCGAGUCUUGACCUUCUAG